CGGGAUGUAGCGCAGUCCGGCAGCGCACCUGGUUUGGGACCAGGGGGCCCCGAGUUCAAAUCUCGGCAUCCCGACCA
rnacentral:tRNA from 1 species